rnacentral:rRNA from 1 species
GACGAACGCUGGCGGCGUGCCUAAUACAUGCAAGUAGAACGCUGAAGGCGGAGCUUGCUUCUCUGGAUGAGUUGCGAACGGGUGAGUAACGCGUAGGUAACCUGCCUGGUAGCGGGGGAUAACUAUUGGAAACGAUAGCUAAUACCGCAUAAGAGUAGAUGUUGCAUGACAUCUACUUAAAAGGUGCAAUUGCAUCACUACCAGAUGGACCUGCGUUGUAUUAGCUAGUUGGUGAGGUAACGGCUCACCAAGGCAACGAUACAUAGCCGACCUGAGAGGGUGAUCGGCCACACUGGGACUGAGACACGGCCCAGACUACUACGGGAGGAAGCAGUAGGGAAUCGUCGGCAAUGGAAGGAAGUCGGGCCGAGCAACGCCGCGUGAGUGAAGAAGGUUGUCGGAUCGUAGAGCUCUGUUGUAAGAGAAGAACGAGUGUGGGAGUGGAAAGUUCACACUGUGACGGUAUCUUACCAGAAAGAGACGGCUAACUACGUG